UACGAAGGGGGCUAGCGUUGUUCGGAAUUACUGGGCGUAAAGGGCGCGUAGGCGGUUGCUCAAGUCAGGCGUGAAAGCCCCGGGCUCAACCUGGGAAUAGCGCUUGAGACUGGGCGGCUUGAGUUCGGGAGAGGUGAGUGGAAUUCCCAGUGUAGAGGUGAAAUGCGUAGAUAUCUGGAGGAAUACCGGUGGCGAAGGCGGCAUCCUGGACCGACAUUGACGCUGAUGAGCGAAAGCCAGGGGAGCAAACGGG
rnacentral:rRNA from 1 species